CUUAACAUAACUUAAACUCAUUAAUUGUGGAAGAAAUUGAGCCAUAAUAAGAUAGCCAUUCCUUCAAUCUCUGCGUGUCUAAACACCAAAAAAUCUUGAUAUUGUAACACAUGCAAAUUUCAAUCAUCAAAAAUUACUGCUUCUUGCAUAUUAUUCAACUCAUUUUGUGUGCACACAGCCAGAGGAGCUAUGGUUAAUGGACAGUGACACUCACAGCUGUGACUCCCGUUGUCUGUCAUUCUCAGAACUUUUGCAAUUCCCUAAUCUAGCAAUGUCACACACAAAGGAUAGCUCAGUAUCACAGCAUGAUAUAUAGAAAAAAGGCUUUUAGCACUUAUGUAGUUUUGCACGUUAAGGGAUCUCCAUUAAAAUGUGACAUACAGGUGUCCCUCAGGCUGACACAUACACACAGUCUGGCAAUGUGACACACAGGUUACCUCAGAUAACAAGGUCACACACAGGGUUCUCAGUCCUAAAAUGUCACACAAUGAGAGUUACCUCAGACUGACCAUGUCCCAAAAAGGCAGUUCUCACCAACUUUAUUGACCAAGGCACACCACGUCCCUUUUACCUGCCCCCGUGUUCAAUACAAAUGCGUAAUUCUAGCUAGACUGACAUUAGCUGUAAGUGAUUGGGGAAUAUUUAGCAAAGUGUUCUGAAAAGUGACAGUUAAGUUGCUUCUAUUUAAUUGUAAUUCAUUUCACAAGUGUUUUAGAAGUGUAAUAUCCAAGAAAUAUCCAAAUUUACAGUGGCUGAAAAAAGAGAAGUAUAUCAGAAUACUUUUCUGUGGGAAAAAAAAAGUGAUGGAAAAAUUGCUAAAAUUAGAAAAUGUUGCCAUCAUGCUGUCAUUCUUUCAUCAUAGCUUCUAUCUGUUAUAUUUUUUGUGUUGUA